AUAGGCAAAGUAAAUAAAAAACAUAUGAGAUUGGUAAAUAAGGGAUCUUUCGCCAUCGCAAAUUAAUAAUUUGAUUGAUUCCAACGUAAAUUUUAUUGUGUUCGGAAAGUUUAAUACGGAAAUAAGUAUAAUUUGUGGUGAGAAUAGUUGCGGAAAGCCCGAAAAUUUGUUGGUUCAGUGUAUAAUUAUCUCGGCAGUAUAAUAUCGGUUACCUGGUUUCCUGAAAAUCAAUUAGGUCCCAAAUUAACGUUCCCGUUGACUGCGAAAAAUACACCUGCAACAUAAGUAGGGUAACGGCACCAGUAUUCAUCCGACCAAAAAUUUGAUUCUACUAAACUAGGAAGUUGUGAGAAGGAAACCACUUUUUUGUAAGUAAAUGAAUUAGUUGUAAGAAAGUUAUGGAAAAUAAUUAAAAAUAUAU